rfam:Homo sapiens chromosome 2, GRCh38 reference primary assembly.
GCUGGGCAUGGUGGCUCCUGCCUGUAAUCCCAGCACUUUGGGAGGCCGAGGCGGGAGGAUCACUUGAGGCCAGGAGUUCGAGAACAGCCUGGCCAACAUGGUGAAAUCCCGUCUCUA